GCUAUAGUAGUUUAUAAAAAACAUUGGUCUUGUAAACCCAAACAGAGAACGAAAUUUCUCCUUAAGCU
rnacentral:tRNA from 1 species